AGGUCUUGACAUCAUCUGAAAACCCUAGAGAUAGGGCUUCUCCUUCGGGAGCAGAGUGACAGGUGGUGCAUGGUUGUCGUCAGCUCGUGUCGUGAGAUGUUGGGUUAAGUCCCGCAACGAGCGCAACCCUUGAUCUUAGUUGCCAUCAUUAAGUUGGGCACUCUAAGGUGACUGCCGGUGACAAACCGGAGGAAGGUGGGGAUGACGUCAAAUCAUCAUGCCCCUUAUGACCUGGGCUACACACGUGCUACAAUGGACGGUACAAAGAGCUGCAAGACCGCGAGGUGGAGCUAAUCUCAUAAAACCGUUCUCAGUUCGGAUUGUAGACUGCAACUCGCCUACAUGAAGCUGGAAUCGCUAGUAAUCGCGGAUCAGCAUGCCGCGGUGAAUACGUUCCCGGGCCUUGUACACACCGCCCGUCACACCACGAGAGUUUGUAACACCCGAAGUCGGUGGGGUAACCUUUUUGGAGCCAGCCGCCUAAGGUGGGACAGAUGAUUGGGG
rnacentral:rRNA from 1 species